UACAGAGGUGGCAAGCGUUGUUCGGAAUUACUGGGCGUAAAGGGCGCGUAGGCGGCCUUCUAAGUCAGACGUGAAAUCCCCGGGCUCAACCUGGGAAUUGCGAUGGAGACUGCAAGGCUAGAAUCUGGCAGAGGGGGGUAGAAUUCCACGUGUAGCAGUGAAAUGCGUAGAGAUGUGGAGGAACACCGAUGGCGAAGGCAGCCCCUGGGUCAAGAUUGACGCUCAUGCACGAAAGCGUGGGGAGCAAACAGG
rnacentral:rRNA from 1 species